GUGGGGAAUAUUGGGCAAUGGGGGAAACCCUGACCCAGCAACGCCGCGUGAAGGAAGAAGGUUUUCGGAUCGUAAACUUCUAUCCUUGGUGAAGAUAAUGACGGUAGCCAAGUAGGAAGCCCCGGCUAACUACGUGCCAGCAGCCGCGGUAAUACGUAGGGGGCAAGCGUUGUCCGGAAUGAUUGGGCGUAAAGGGCGCGUAGGCGGCCUGGUAAGUCUGGAGUGAAAGUCCUGCUUUUAAGGUGGGAAUUGCUUUGGAUACUGUCGGGCUUGAGUGCAGGAGAGGUAAGCGGAAUUCCCGGUGUAGCGGUGAAAUGCGUAGAGAUCGGGAGGAACACCAGUGGCGAAGGCGGCUUACUGGACUGUAACUGACGCUGAGGCGCGAAAGUGUGGGGAGCAAACAGGAUUAGAAACCCUAGUAGUCC
rnacentral:rRNA from 1 species